rnacentral:rRNA from 1 species
GAUGAACGCUAGCGGCAGGCCUAACACAUGCAAGUCGAGGGGUAGAAGUUGCUUGCAACUUUGAGACCAGCGCACGGGUGCGUAACGCGUAUGCAAUCUGCCUUGUACUGAGGGAUAGCCCAGAGAAAUUUGGAUUAAUACCUCAUAGUAUUAUGGUGUGGCAUCACAUUAUAAUUAAAGUUCCAACGGUACAAGAUGAGCAUGCUUCACAUUAGUUAGUUGGUAAGGUAACGGCUUACCAAUACGAUGAUGGGUAGGGGUCCUGAGAGGGAGAUCCCGCACACUGGUACUGAGACCCGGACCUGUGUCCUACGGGAGGCAGGAGUGAGGAAGAUUGGUCCAUAGGCGCAAUCCUGAACCAGCCAUGCCUCGUGUAGGAUGACCGUACUAUGGAUUGUAAACUGCUUUUAUACGGGAAGAAACACUCCUACGUGUAGGAACUUGACGGUACCGUAAGAAUAAGGAUCGGCUAACUCCGUGCCAGCCGCCGCCGUAAUAC